UACGGAGGGAGCUAGCGUUGUUCGGAAUUACUGGGCGUAAAGCGCACGUAGGCGGCUUUGUAAGUUAGAGGUGAAAGCCCGGGGCUCAACUCCGGAACUGCCUUUAAGACUGCAUCGCUUGAAUCCAGGAGAGGUGAGUGGAAUUCCGAGUGUAGAGGUGAAAUUCGUAGAUAUCAAGCGGAACACCGGUGGCGAAGGCGGCCGUCUGGACGAUGACUGACGCUGAGACGCGAAAGCGUGGGGAGCAAACAGG
rnacentral:rRNA from 1 species